CAGUAAAAACUGAAGGGCGAGUUUCACGAGAUGAAAAGCUCUGGAGGUCUGUACGCAACACUGCGAAUGAACCUAACGUCACUGAACUGGACGGUUAAAAACGGCCACGAUGCUGCGUUCUAGAUUCUGGCUGGACGUCACAGCGGCGUGUCAGAGCUGAGCUUCCAUCUGCCCCCUGACACCCCCGUCUGUCUCAACCGCAUCACCAGGCCCUUGUCCAGUGCGCUGCAUUGAGGACGCUUGCCUCCUGGGCUAGACUGUAAACUCCCCCGCUUGGAGACCUGACCACCUGCGUGUUGCCCACAGCCCUCAGCACAUGCAUUCACACACAACUGCACUUAGAAACCCUGGCCAUUCGGAGAUCAAAUGCCGUUCAGGCGAGCACACCGCGCAGCUGCCUCAGCUGUCCCGGGAAUGCUGCGGCGGCCGCACCCUCAGUCCCCAGCUGGCCCGGGAUUCAGAAAGCAUCUCUCCCGCCCAUCCCCACAGCUCAUCCUGCUUUCCUGCUAAUGACCCCGUGAGCGGCUCCCAGACGUCCGCCACGUGGCUCACGCAUGCACUCCCGGAGGCGUGAGCGGGUCCACUGCGGUUACCCACCGCCCUACCCGAGGCAGGUGCCCUCCGGGUCUUCCCAGGCCAGGAAGCCAGGGAGAGCUGGGGGGCCACGAGCCUUUUCUCGCCGGUGAGGCCCCCCGCACCCCCACCAUGCAUCCUCGCUGGACGGGAGCCUCUGCCCAGGGCCCUCGCCGAGGCCGCCAUCUCCACCCUCUCGUCUGGCUCCUGCUCAAGAGAACAGCUGGGGAGGUGGCACCUCGAGGCCCACGACUAUUUUUACGUGGCCAUCUGUCCCCGACCAGGCCUGGCUGGCAGCGACAGGCCCAAGGAAUCCCGCAGCAGGUGGGAGACACCCGGACAGCUGAGGAUGCACGGCCCGGCCCCAAGUGCUGUUCUGGGGAGGCUGGAAAUGUGGUGUGAGGACAGGGAGGAGACGCGGGUGCCGUACCGCGGCAGCUCGGGGCGAUGGGUGCCUGGCCGCCUCCCAUCUCUGUGCAGCAGCGGCCAGCCCCGCCUGCUCUGUCUGAGUCUGGGUGACGAGUCAGAUGCUCCAGCCAGCUGUGGGCCUCGCCGCCACAGGGGAGGGGGUGCAGCAAGUGCUCUGCUGAGGACACACACGCAGAUAGAGCCGGGAUCCCUGCUGCCCACCUGACUGAGAACCUCCGGGACAAAGUCCGGCGCCUUUGUAGAAACUAAGAUCAUCAUAGAGGGAACCUGCAUCCCCAGAGAGGAGGGCGGCAGGAAGGAGAGGGAGUGCAUCCAAAGUCUUUGCACACGAUUUAUCCAUCACACUGCAGCUGGGGCAGGAGGCACGGGGCCCCAAGUGGGAAGGACAGCAGUGAGCACGCAGGGCCCAGCCUCCUGGGGACAGCCACAGCCUCCCAGGCCUCGGGCGGGAAGGGAGGCGGCCCCGUCGUCCCCAGGAGUUGGCGUGCCCACCUCAUUCCUGUGUGGGAAGGUGCUGCCCCAUGGUGGGGAGGGGCGGGGAGAGAGAGACAGAGACUUAGAGACAGAGACUGAAAGAGAGAGGGAGAGACAGACAGACAGAGACAGAGAGAGAACUCUCUCCUUUGAGGAUCCUUAUCCAGCAAAGCCUUCAGAGAUGCCCUUGACAUGGGCCUGGGGCAGCCGGGCAGCAGACGUCUGGGACUGGAAUUCUGAAUUCCUGGGCCAGCCCGUUUCAGUCCCCGUUUCACAGCUGAAGGACAGGAGGCUGUCCCCAGCCGGGCGGUUUUAACAGUCUGAGUCUGUGUCUUUGGCCGGGAGGUAAUAGCUGUGAACAUAUUUCAACCCAAGGCCCCUAGUUUGCGCCAGGCCUGUCCCCUGAGUCCGCGGUGGACAAGGGGUGUGGGGCCACCUUGUGUGCACCUCUGCUGGGGUAAGAAGCAUGGGGGUGCCCACAGACGUGGGGGCACAGACACCGAGCUACAGGGACGGCCCCCUUUUUUCAGAACUGUGAUUCUAGAGAUCAGUAAAUAGCCCACCGAGGGCAACACAGAGAGACCCUGGGCCCUGGAAAGGGGCGCAGGCACCGAGCGGACCCUCUGGGGACCAGCUCCUGGUGAGCAGGGUCUGGUAGGCAGACGACGCGCUGAGUCAGGGCUGCAGCUGAGUCCACGGGCUCCAGCACUUCGGUGAAAAUGCCUUUUUUGGAAGCCAGGCAGUCACUUUCCAGGACUCCCGAGUCCCUGGGAAGUGACGCAGCCCACGGUCAGCGAGAGAAAGGUGCCGGGAAGCCGCCUCGCCUGCCGCGGGCAGCCGGACUCUCCCUCCGCCCCCUCCCUGGCCCGCCCGGGAGCAGCUCCUUGUAUGGGAAACGUUUACACAGGAGGCCCCUGCGGGGCUGCCGUCACCCGGCUCUGUGAACCUCCCGCAGAGCAGAGAGGCGGGCGAGGGGGCAUUCUCCGAUGCCUGUUUUGCUGUGUUUGCAGGAGAGGCUGUGUUCUGGGGGCUGUGGCUGCAAACCCUCUGCUUUUGCCCUCCUGCCUGUGGCCUCGGCUCCCGCCCCGCAGCUCCCCGUUGAAGGGCAGAGUGGGGGUCAGGCCAGAAGGGGCCCCGGGCUGUGGUCGGUCAUGGGCAGGAUAGGAUGAGCAGGGCCCGGGGACUAAUGACUGCAGAGGCAGGAACCACGCAGGCGCUUUGGGCUUCUGGGACCACCUGAGGGGUCUUCCCGUGUCCUGCGCUGUUGGCCCGGAUGCAGCGGGAAGCGGCAGGCCUCCUGGGCAGUGUCUCUUUGUAGGAAAAGCACACAUUGUGCCCCUAGUCUAGCGUCAGCAUCCCCAUUUCCUUGUGGGGAGCUGCCUCCACCCAGGCCGCAUGGUUGGUGCUUACUCUCCCUGCCCGUCUUGUGGCCACCGUUACUUUGUGUGGGCACCAUGGGGCAUCCGCAGCCCCGGGACUUCCCGCUGGGGCUGGGCUGACAUCUGCUUCUUGGGGAGGAGGCCUCCCCGAAGACAGU